rnacentral:sRNA from 1 species
AAGAGGCUACCCAUCCUGUCUGGCCAUCCCCAGUGUGCUGAGGGACCGCCCCUCACGGCCCCCUAUCCCCUGGGAUUCCCUAAAGCCACCAGCAAAAGCCCCUCCCAGGGGCCUGGGUCUUCAGGGGUCCCCAAGAGGCCUGCGUUGGUAGGGGCUCAGGCAGGCAGAGGCACCCACAGUUCAGGAGGGGGGUUUCGGGCACUGGGGUGGGGCAUUGGAGGGCCCUGAGCCUGGCUGCCUGUAGGAAGGAGGUCUACACCACGCUGAAGGGCCUCUACGCCACGCACGCCUGCGGGGAGCACCUGGAGGCCUUUGCUUUGCUGGAGCGCUUCAGCGGCUACCGGGAAGACAAUAUCCCCCAGCUGGAGGACGUCUCCCGCUUCCUGAAGGAGCGCACGGGCUUCCAGCUGCGGCCUGUGGCCGGCCUGCUGUCCGCCCGGGACUUCCUGGCCAGCCUGGCCUUCCGCGUGUUCCAGUGCACCCAGUAUAUCCGCCACGCGUCCUCGCCCAUGCACUCCCCUGAGCCGGACUGCUGCCACGAGCUGCUGGGGCACGUGCCCAUGCUGGCUGACCGCACCUUCGCGCAGUUCUCGCAGGACAUUGGCCUGGCAUCCCUGGGGGCCUCGGAUGAGGAAAUUGAGAAGCUGUCCACGCUGUACUGGUUCACGGUGGAGUUCGGGCUGUGUAAGCAGAAUGGGGAGGUGAAGGCCUAUGGUGCCGGGCUGCUGUCCUCCUACGGGGAGCU